AUUGAACGCUGGCGGCAGGCCUAACACAUGCAAGUCGAACGCGUCGCGGACGGGUGGGUAGUGUCUGGGAAACUGCCUGAUGGAGGGGGAUAACUAGUGGAAACGGUAGGUAAUACCGCAUACCAUUAGAUGUGCCCUGAUGGGAUUAGCUUGUUGGUGGGGUAACGGCUCACCAAGGCGACAAUCCCAAGAUGGUCUGAGAGGAUGACCAGCCACACUGGAACUGAGACACGGUCCAAACUCAUACGGGAGGCAGCAUUGGGGAAUAUUGCACAAUGGGCUAAAGCCUGAUGCAGCCAUGCCGCGUGUAUGAAGAAGGCCUUCGGGUUGUAAAGUACUUUCAGCGGGGAGGCGUUACCCGCAGAAGAAGCACCGGCUAACUCCGUGCCAGCAGCCGCGGUAAUUC
rnacentral:rRNA from 1 species